rnacentral:rRNA from 1 species
CAGUCGCCGCGGGAAUACGAAGGGGGCUAGCGUUGCUCGGAAUGACUGGGCGUAAAGGGCGCGUAGGCGGCGAUCAAAGUCAGGCGUGAAAUUCCUGGGCUCAACCUGGGGGCUGCGUUUGAUACUUGGUUGCUAGAGUGAGGAAGAGGGUCGUGGAAUUCCCAGUGUAGAGGUGAAAUUCGUAGAUAUUGGGAAGAACACCGGUGGCGAAGGCGGCGACCUGGUCCUUGACUGACGCUGAGGCGCGAAAGCGUGGGGAGCAAACAGGAUUAGAUACCCCAGUAGUCCCUGUCUCUUAUAU